CCUACGGGCGGCAGCAGUGGGGAAUAUUGCGCAAUGGGCGAAAGCCUGACGCAGCGACGCCGCGUGUGGGAUGAAGGUCUUCGGAUCGUAAACCUCUGUCAGCAGGGAAGAACGGUCACUGUGCUAAUCAGCAGUGAAUUGACGGUACCUGCAAAGGAAGCACCGGCUAACUCCGUGCCAGCAGCCGCGGUAAUACGGAGGGUGCGAGCGUUAAUCGGAAUUACUGGGCGUAAAGCGCUCGUAGGCGGUAUGGAAAGUCAAGGGUGAAAUCCCCGCGCUCAACGGGGGAACUGCCUUUGAAACUGGCAAACUAGAGUGUGUGAGAGGAGAGUGGAAUUCCAGGUGUAGGAGUGAAAUCCGGAGAGAUCUGGAGGAACAUCAGUGGCGAAGGCGACUAUCUGGCACAUAACUGACGCUGAGGAGCGAAAGCGUGGGUAGCAAACAGGAUUAGAUACCCUUGUAGUC
rnacentral:rRNA from 1 species